UAAAUGAAGAACCUUCACGCGCCACGCGGGGAUGCAAAACUUCCGCUUGUUGUCGGUUUACUUCCGCCGUUGUCAUGGCGACGCAGACUGUUCCUCUGUAGCUGAUGGAUAUUCUAGCGACAUUUUUUUAUUUAGAAUUAAUGAUUAUUAAAGUGACCUGUUAAUGUGUCAGAGAUGGUGAUGCGUGUAAGUCAGCGUACUUUGGACAGAAUUCUCUCAACUAUUGUGGCGGCGGUGGUGUUGGUGUCCUGGGGGUUUGUGAUCUACGGCGCUCGUGUAGCUGCUCAGUGGGAGCUGGAGAAGAAAACCAACACACAGACGUGAAGAAGGAGACACACACACGAGACACAAACACCACAGUAUUUGUAUUAAACAACUUUGGACACGAAGUGUGGACUUGUGCACAGAAUAAUGGACACACACUCUUUCACGAAACGUUGCGUUCAUUAGACAGUUUUGUGUUAUAAGAGGAAUAAAACACUCAGGAUGUGA